CAAAUUUGGUGUUGAUCUGAAUAAAUCUCUAGGAGGAGUUCGUUAAAAUACAAGGCAUGCAAAUGACAAAAAUGAUGCAAAAUUUGCUCAUAAAAUUAAAAAUAACCGACUUCCUGUUGGGUUUCGGAUAUUGCUCCAAGAGUCUUUUUUGUAGGUACUGAUGCUUUACAUAUGUGUGCCAAUUUUCGUGUAUGUACGUGAAACACAGCUCGAGGGCUGUUGAUUUUUUUACGAUAGGUGGCGCUGUCGAGCCAUUUUGCCACACCCUCUUCUGAAACCUAUAUCAGACGUAAAUUUUCACCAGGUCUGACGCGUGUGCAAAGUUUCAGGACUUUUCGAGCAUGUUUAGGCCCUCAAAAAUGCGAUUCAUUUUGGAGAAGAAGAAGAAGAAGAAGAAGAAGAAGAAUAAUAAUAAUAAUAAUAAACAAAGCAGAUACAAGAGGGUCCUCACACCAUCGGUGCUCGGGCCCUAAUAAUAAACAAAGCAGAUACAAGAGGGUCCUCACACCAUCGGUGCUCGGGCCCUAAUUAAAGCUGCAAGCAGCAAUGAACGGGCCCUCGCACCCGGACUCACCGCCAGUGAACGGCUUUAGUAAAAAAGGCGAACGGCGAGAAAUAUGCAUUUAAUUAAAGUUGUAAAUAUAAGUGGAAUAUGUCAAAGUCAUUUAUAUGUGCCAAUCUUCCUGUUGCCAGCAGGUGGCGCUAUCAUUAUAAUGGAAUAUUGGCCUUCAGAUGUGUUCAGGCCACGACUCUUAUCGAACAUGUGAAGUUUGGGGAAGAUCGAACAUUUUAUGCCUGAGUUACAACAACUUCUCUUCCUAUGGCGAGACAUCAAAUUUUGUCA
ensembl:lncRNA